UGCCCCCCUCCUCCGGGACAACCUUGGGAAACCGAGGCUAAUACCGGAUACUCCCUCCCCCUGCUCCUGCAGGGGUCGGGAAAGCCCAGGCGGAGGGGGAUGGGGUCGCGGCCCAAUAGGUAGUAGGCGGGGUAACGGCCCACCUAGCCCGCGAUGGGUAGCCGGGUUGAGAGACCGACCGGCCACAUUGGGACUGAGAUACGGCCCAGACUCCUACGGGAGGCAGCAUG
rnacentral:rRNA from 1 species